AUUACUUCUCAGCCUUUUGGCUAAGAUCAUGUGUAGGAUCUGUUCUUGUCAGUUCAAUUUGACACAUCCUUUAUCCGAGGACAACAUAGUGAACAGAUAUUGGAGCUAGGGGAUGGAAUAGGAGCUUGAUCCGUUCACUGCACUGAUCAACCUCUU
rnacentral:snRNA from 1 species